rnacentral:rRNA from 1 species
UACAGAGGGGGCAAGCGUUGUUCGGAAUUACUGGGCGUAAAGGGCGCGUAGGCGGCCUGCUAAGUCGAACGUGAAAUCCCUGGGCUCAACCCAGGAACUGCGUCCGAUACUGGUUGGCUUGAAUCCGGGAGAGGGAUGUGGAAUUCCAGGUGUAGCGGUGAAAUGCGUAGAGAUGUGGAGGAACACCAGUGGCGAAGGCGACUCUUUGGCCUGUAACUGACGCUGAGGCGCGAAAGCGUGGGGAGCAAACAGG